rnacentral:tRNA from 2 species
CGGGGAUUGGCGCAGAUGGCUAGCGCGCACGCCUGGGGGGCGUGAGGUCACCAGUUCAAGUCUGGUAUCCCCGACCA